AUCUGCCACACACCUAGACACACACACACACACACACCUAGACACACACAUCUGUCAUGCACCUAGACACACACACCAAGACAGCGUUUAGAGGGUUGGGUCAGUAACCGAAAGGUCUCUAGUUUAAAUCCCCAAGCCGACAAGUUGGUGGGGGGGGUCUGUCGACGGCACUUAACCCCAAUUGCUUUCAGUCGCCGUUCGUAAUGGCUGACCCUAGCCGUGACCCCACUCUCCGAGGGCGUCUCAGGGAGAGUUGGGAUAUGCAAAAAACACAUUUACAUUUCACACACGUGUAACACUGGUACGUGUGACAGGACUGAUAUAAACAGACACCAAAUUAGGAUUAUUAGCUGAAGACACUCUGCACAUAUACAUACCGCUGUCUGAUGAAAACCUUGUCAUUUUAUCCCAAAACAUUUGUAUUGAAUGCAGUAACUCCCCUCAAUAUAGACUGAAUAUUUCCUGACUCUACGACUAAGAACAUAUGUUUAUAAUAGCUCCUGAAGUUUGGUAAUUAUAUGUUUGUUAAAAAUAUAACCUUUUUUUUUUUUUUUUCAUUUCCUGAAGAGUCUGUUUUGGAGAUGGGCCUACAGGGUUCUCAUCAGAAAGCUAUGAUACACACGUGUGUGUGUGUGUGUGUGUGUAUACACACACAUCUGAGAGUCACAAACACCCACAGCUGGAGUGUAAACACACACUUAUCCAAACACGCUUGUCAUACACCUGACCAAACACGCGUGUGCACACACGCACACACACACACGCAGGCCCAACUCAUACAUUGUCACACAGCCAUACAUAUACAGGUAUCAUACACAGUGGAUACAGCACACUAGGCUGGGAGUCAUAGGGGAAACCAAUAUCUCUUACUGCAUGUGUUUAUGGAUGUGGGUACGUAAACCCGCAAGGCACUGUGGCCCCUCAUGAUGAGUUGUGUUGUUUUUACCCCGUUAAAGUUGCCCGUCCUUGGUAUCGACUGACAGGAGACUGUGCUAGAACCUACUGUAGCUGUGCCAUAGUCUAAUCAAAUCAAAUCAAAUUUAUUUUAUAUAGCCCUUCGUACAUCAGCUGAUAUCUCAAAGUGCUGUACAGAAACCCAGCCUAAAACCCCAAACAGCAAGCAAUGCAGGUGUAGAAGCACGGUGGCUAGGAAAAACUCCCUAGAGUUUAAUAGUGGCAAACCACGUCUGCUCAUGUCAUGCUGUUUGACGUAGACACACACACACACACACACUUACGUCUGCUCAUGUCAUGCUGUUUGACGUAGACAUCCACACACACACACUUACGUCUGCUCAUGUCAUGCUGUUUGACGUAGACAUCCACACACACACACUUACGUCUGCUCAUGUCAUGCUGUUUGACGUAGACAUCCACACACACACACUUACGUCUGCUCAUGUCAUGCUGUUUGACGUAGACAUCCACACACACACACACACACUUACGUCUGCUCAUGUCAUGCUGUUUGACGUAGACAUCCACACACACACUUAGUCACUUUUUAUUUAUAUUUUUUUAAGCACUUUACAUUUGUCAAUCCUUUACUUGCUUUAGUCUUUAUGCAGCAUGUCACGAACCUGAAACGUCAGGAUGCUUAUAAGCUGGUUCAGACCGUGACGGGCACAUUGAACAGGGAGUUGUUCCCUAUGCUAGUUUGGAACAUCGCAGAAAACUUCUCUUGGGUUUUAAUCGGUCACGUCCCUGUCAGUCUCUGGUCUGGACGGCCAUUUUGAUCCAAUGACAACAGCACUUUGCCGUGAUCAUGUGACUUCACAGGGAUGCUGGCACUUACUGUACAAACAGACGUAAACACACACUUUCCAUGAAAGUGGAUCUCACAUGAUCCAUAUUCACCAUUUCUUUCUCUUACCUUUUCUCGCUCUCCUUCACCUUUUUAUCUCCAUCCCUCAAAUACCCCCCCCCCCCUGACCCUCCCACCUAUGGGGCAUGGUGUAUGUGAACAGAGUGAUACGAGAGGGUGGCGUUAUAGAACUGGUACAGGAAGUUGAGGUCAAGUCAUAGAGGGAUUUAAGGGAAGAUGGGUGGAAGUGAGGAUCUGAGGGUUACUGAAUAAGAACUGUGGGGUAUACACUACAGUAUGCCAUACAGACUUUAGUACAGAACAGUACAGGUGUAGUACACUACAGUAUGCCAUACAGACUUUAGUACAGAACAGUACAGGUGUAGUACACUACAGUAUGCCAUACAGACUUUAGUACAGAACAGUACAGGUGUAGUACACUACAGUAUGCCAUACAGACUAUAGUACAGAACAGUACAGGUGUUGGUUUAUGACUGCUGAAUGUCCUUUUGGGUGGGUGGUGAUGCUGCUGUUGCUCCUGCACCGCCCCCUGUCGUUACCCACCGACCCCCUCCUCAAAUAGACAGACAGACCCCUCUCUCAUAUAUAUAUAUAUAUAUAUAUAUAUAUAUAUAUAAGGUGGGGGGAGGUGUGGUAAAAGAAUAUAUAUAUAUAUAUAUAAAUAGUUGAUUUAACAGCAAUUUCAUGUGGGAUGUAUUGGAAAUAAUGUGUUAAUAUUGUACAUUUUUAGAAUUGAAAAAAAAACGACAUUUAAAAACAAAUCCAAGUUGAGACCAAUUAACUGCUUGUAAUUGUGAAGACACAAAUCUCUGUGAUAACUGACAUGGUCUUUAACAAUGCUUUGAAACAAGGAAAUGAAUGGAAAAAACAUGAUCAACAACACCUUGUACACACACACACACACACACAGUGUGGUCCUGGAGUAGUGUUAUUAGAUUCCGUUGGGGUUCUAUCGAGUUCCGUUGGAUCCCAUUAGAUUCCGUUGGGGUUCUAUCGAGUUCCGUUGGAUCCCAUUAGAUUCCGUUGGGGUUCUAUCGAGUUCCGUUGGAUCCCAUUAAAUUCCGUUUGAUUCUAUUGUCUCUACUUGUUCAGACUCGCUGCUGACCUGUGAACUAUUCUCCAUCUUCUCUUGGCCACUCAUUCUUUCUGCAAAGAACCUUCAGGUCUCUCCCCAAACUGAGGAGGAUGUGCUGUACUCUUCCUUUUAAUGGUUUGAAUUUGCUGUUCGGGUUUUUAUUUCUCUUAUCGAGAGAAAUGGUUGGUUUUUAUCUACAUCGAUUGAUGUAAUUCAGUUGGUCAGAUUAUGAUGACAUCUAGAUUAUACUCUGAAUGGUCAGAUUAAAAUAAGAGAUCCACUCUGGUUCAUCCUUGGAGAGACGGGAUCUCUACGGUCUGAUCAGUAGAGUUACUGGAACCAUUCCCACGUCUGUAUUAAACUGGAUAGGUUGUGCAAAAAAAGAUGAAUGUCUUACAUAAAAGAAUAUAUACAAUUAUAGAAAAAGUGAUUUUAAAAAUGUUUAAAAGAAAUUGAGAAAGAAUGUUUUAGGAGACAAAUGUAAUAUUUUGUUUGUAAUGACUUAUUUUGUUUGGCAGAGGGCUACUGAACAAAGAUUCCACUGUAAUAAAGUCCUUUUAGUUC